GCGAAUCCGUUGGGGUGCCCCGAGAGGGGCUGAGAGGCACAUCGCCAACCCAUCGAACCUGAUCCGGUCAAUACCGGCGUAGGGAACGGAGCCAGAGCAGAG
rnacentral:ncRNA from 2 species